GGGAAAUGAUAGACAAUCAGACCCUUCCCAUUAUGUGAGUAUCCUUCAUUCUUCUGUUUCCAGUGAAUGAGUUUAGAAAGGCUUGAAUGCUUUUGUACAGCGUUGUGUGUUCAAAACCACUCUAAAGAGAUGCUACAACUUUUAAUUUUGUGUUCUUUAGCCACCACAUAGGGACAUCAAAUUGGCCACAUGUUUCAGACAGGAAAUGUUGGGCCUUGCUUUGUGCGCUUCAU
rnacentral:lncRNA from 1 species